AUUGAACGCUGGCGGCAUGCCUUACACAUGCAAGUCGAACGGUAACAGGUCUUCGGAUGCUGACGAGUGGCGAACGGGUGAGUAAUACAUCGGAAUGUGCCCGAUCGUGGGGGAUAACUACUCGAAAGAGUAGCUAAUACCGCAUACGAUCUACGGAUGAAAGCGGGGGAUCUUCGGACCUCGUGCGGACGGAGCGGCCGAUGGCAGAUUAGGUAGUUGGUGGGAUAAAAGCUUACCAAGCCGACGAUCUGUAGCUGGUCUGAGAGGACGACCAGCCACACGGGGACGGGGACACGGCCCAGACUCCUACGGGAGGCAGCAGUGGGGAAUUUUGGACAAUGGGCGAAAGCCUGAUCCAGCAAUGCCGCGUGCAGGAUGAAGGCCUUCGGGUUGUAAACUGCUUUUGUACGGAACGAAAAGACUCCUUCUAAUACGGGGGGUCCAUGACGGUACCGUAAGAAUAAGCACCGGCUAACUACGUGCCAGCCGCCGCCGUAA
rnacentral:rRNA from 1 species